CAUACCUAUUCGAAGGGAUAGGGUCGGUUCGGCCGGGUUUCACACAGGUGUUGCAUGGCUGUCGUCAGCUCGUGUCGUGAGAUGUUGGGUUAAGUCCCGCAACGAGCGCAACCCUCAUCCUUAGUUACCAUCAGGUAAUGCUGGGGACUUUGAGGAAACUGCCAGUGAUAAACUGGAGGAAGGUGGGGAUGAUGUCAAGUCAUCAUGGCCCUUAUGGAGUGGGCUACACACGUGCUACAGUAGUGGCUACAAUGGGCUGCAAAGUCGCGAGGCUAAGCCAAUCCCUUAAAAGCCAUCUCAGUUCGGAUUGUACUCUGCAACUCGAGAGCAUGAAGUUGGAAUCGCUAGUAAUCGUGGAUCAGCAUGCCACGGUGAAUACGUUCUCGGGUCUUGUACACACUGCCCGUCACGCCAUGGGAAUUGGUUUCACUCGAAGCU
rnacentral:rRNA from 1 species